rnacentral:rRNA from 1 species
AGCAGUAGCCGCGGUAAUACGUAGGGUGCGAGCGUUAAUCGGAAUUACUGGGCGUAAAGCGUGCGCAGGCGGUUUUGUAAGACAGGCGUGAAAUCCCCGGGCUCAACCUGGGAAUGGCGCUUGUGACUGCAAAGCUAGAGUGCGGCAGAGGGGGAUGGAAUUCCGCGUGUAGCAGUGAAAUGCGUAGAUAUGCGGAGGAACACCGAUGGCGAAGGCAAUCCCCUGGGCCUGCACUGACGCUCAUGCACGAAAGCGUGGGGAGCAAACAGGAUUAGAUACCCGGGUAGUCCCUGUCUCUUAUAC